UUCUUUAAGAAAUUAGCUUAAAGUAAAACCUGCUCCAUGAAAUUAUAAUAAAUAGCCGCAGAAAUCUGUGCUAAGGUAGCAUAAUCAUUAGCUUUUUAAUUAAAAGAUAGAAUGAAUGGUUCAACGAUUAUAGACUUUUUCUAUUUUUAAAAAAUAAAAUUAAAUAAAAAGUUAAAAUUCUUUUAACAAAAAGAAAGACGAUAAGACCCUAUAAACUAAAAAAAUUAGCUGGGGCGGCUUAAUAAAAAUACCUUAAAAAUAACAUUUUACUCUGAACAUUUACAAAAUAAAAAGAAAAGUUACUUUAGGGAUAACAGCGCUACUCCUUUUUUAAGCUCUCAUAAAAAAACGAUUCUGCGACCUCGAUGUUGAAUUAUAUUCCUUUAAUGAAGAAAAAAUUAUAAUAGGUAGUCUGUUCGACUAUUAAAAACAU
rnacentral:rRNA from 1 species